CUUCUAGAUAAGAAACACUCCCAAUUUAAUCUUCCCACUUUCCAAAUUUCUCUUCAAAAUACCACAAAUUUUUUCUCAGAUAAAAACGGCGCAGAAAUACUUGAACACUUAACCACUAUAUCAUCCACAAAAACCCAGAAAAAACUCCCAUUUUCUCACUCUAACUCAAUCAAAAAACCCAAUUUUGUUCACUAAUUUUAGUGGGAAUUGAAGUAAAUUGAAGUUGGAAUUCUGGGGUCUGCAUGGUUAAGCACCUUAGGGGAGAGGAUUUCUUGUUGGGGCACUUGAAGAAGAAAGAGAGAGGAAAGCUUCUUCUACUUCAACAAUGGCGGGUGGUGGGAUUAUUGUUGCUCAGUUGCUGCCAUUUUCUUCAACGCCUCAACAUCCUCGUUGGAAUUCUUCUUCGUUUUCGCGCUUGCCGCCCUCUUCCCGAAUACGUAAUCGCUUCUCUUCUCGUCGAUGGUUGAAUGUUUCCUACCCUCUUCUUCCUCCUCUGAGGGUUGAUGAUUUUUGUGCAAGAUGUUCAAUGAUAGAUACUGAUCUACUUCUGGAUAACGUUGUUUCUGAUGAAGAUACUGAAGAUGACUUGUCAUCCUCUGCUUCUAAUUUUUCUGACAUUCUUGAGGCCGAGUCGUUAAAUAUAUUGAGUGAUAGAAGUUACGUUGAUAAUGUUUUGACUGCAUUGCCAGUUUUAUCUGAGGAAGAACAGAAUGUCCUUGCUGCUACCCCUGCUCAUCCUGCUGGCUUGUAUGCUUUAUAUGCCAAUUGUUUGGUAGGGAAUUUUGUGGAACAACUAUGGAAUUUUGCUUGGCCUGCUGCUAUUGCACUGAUCCAUCCAAGCCUUCUUCCUGUUGCAGUCGUGAGCUUUUUCACUAAGUUUGCAGUUAUUCUUGGAGGACCAUUAGUUGGAAAACUUAUGGAUCAUUUCCCUAGAGUACAGGCAUAUAAUUGUCUAAGUAUUGUCCAGGUAACUACCCAGCUGAUGUCUGUGGCAAUGAUAAUUUAUGCUCAUAAAGUUCGGUCUGCUUCUGUGUCAUCAAUUCUAGUUCGCCCUUGGUUUGUUAUUCUUGUUAUAGCGGGUGCAAUUGAGCGACUAUGUGGAUUAGCUUUGGGUGUUGCCAUGGAACGUGACUGGCUUGUACUGCUAGCUGGGACCAAUAGACCUAUUGCACUUGCGCAGGCCAAUGCUGUUAUCAACCGAAUUGAUCUUCUCUGUGAGAUUGCGGGUGCUUCUCUAUUCGGUAUUCUUCUGUCUAAAAAUGACCCUGUAACCUGUUUGAAACUUGCUGCUGGUUUUAUGAUCUGGGGUUUGCCCCUUACAGUUGCUCUUACUUGGUUUACCAACAUGGUUUCUACUGGUGUUCUUGACCGUGCUAAGUGUCCGCAGACCUGUUCUGACCGUAAUACUCGAUUAACCCAGGAAGAUAAUGAGAAUAUAGUGAGUUUAGGUAUUAAUGCUAUCAAACAUGGGUGGUCCGAGUAUAAACAGCAGCCUGUUCUUCCUGCAAGCGUAGCCUAUGUGUUUCUGUAUUUCAACAUUGUUCUCACCCCUGGUGGUUUGAUGACUGCAUUUUUGACUCAGCGUGGUCUUAACUCCUCCAUAAUUGGUGCUUUUAGUGGAUUAUGUGCUUUAAUGGGUGUUGUAGCGACAUUUGUAUCUGCUAAACUCAUCGAAGAGCUUGGUAUCUUAAAGGCUGGGGCUGUUGGGUUAAUUUUCCAGGCAUCACUUCUUGCUCUAGCAGUUGCUGUUUACUGGAGUGGAACUCUUUCUCAGCAGACACCCAUCUUAUUCUUCUUGUUCCUAAUUGUUUUAUCAAGGCUAGGACACAUGUCAUAUGAUGUAAUUGGCCAGCAGAUUCUUCAAACUGGAAUCCCAUCAUCAAAAGCUAAUCUUAUUGGGACGACAGAGGUCUCCGUUGCCAGUUUGGCUGAGUUUGUGAUGUUAGGCAUAGCAAUAAUCGCAAACGAUGUCUCUCAUUUUGGAUUUCUAGCUAUGCUUUCACUCCUGUCUGUUAUUGCGGCAGCAUAUAUCUUCUGCCUAUGGUUGAUGAAUCCUUCAGAAGAGCAAAGGAGGCUUUUUUCCUUUUGAACGCCAAUUUUGAUGACAAAGGUUAGAGUGGAAAGGAAGAGAGAGGGAUGAGAGAAGUAAGGUGACGGGUAGAAACAAGAUUGUGGCAAUACAAAAGGGAAAUUAAAAGUAUUUUCACCAAUUACCGACCAAACAAUUGAAAAUGAGAACACUGGUAACCCAGAAAAAUGGUUUUCCUCCAAACCAAACACAGCCUCGGUCAAGGUCUCAAGAGGUGUUGCUGAGUAAUGGCCAAGCCUUUCUACAAUAUUUACAUAAAUUGAAGAGAAAACAAUCACAAAUUUGAUUCUUUGGGGACAAUUUACAUCCUUACAGGUGUUACUUCUCUAUUCCGAGCAUUCCCCUUGUGGCCUUGUACAUCAAUGAAAAGGUGACAAGUUUGACCCAAUUCUAUUCUUUGCUCUCUUCUUAGUGGAAGGUUAUGAUGCUGUUCACUAAUGAUGAGCCUAACCCUGUACAGACUACAGAAAUCUCAUUAAGCAUAAUAUUUAUGUAAGCUGCAGUUGCUGUGCAUUAUCAAUUUGUCAUCAAAGAAGUUUAACUUGAUACUUCUGAUUGUGAAUAUGUGUUCUAUUAAAAAAAAAAAAAAAAAGUUAAAUAUGAAAAGGUAGUCGAAUUGUUUUGUGAAUAAGGUCCAUUCUAUUCGUUGGCAGGCCUUUCUGAUACCAGUUGUAAUUUUAUUCUCAAAUCCUACUUAAGCAAGUACUUAAUCUUGCUAUUGAAUAAAAAUGAUGGUUACUUCUAACACGGUUUUUAAAUAAUGUGUUUUUGCUUCGAAUGAUAUGUUAUUAGUAUCUGAAGAUCAGAUGACAUAAUUGCAAAGAAACAGAAGAUGAGGGAUGUGGUUGAAAAUCUGUAAUCGGUUUCGGGGCUUCAUUAUGAUUACUGUGAGCCUGUGAGUGUGGGCUCUCUGAUUUUGCUUUGAUAUCAGGUGUUAUUCAAGGAAAGAUGUGAUGUUUCAAGGAGCACUUGAAGCUGCUGUAAUUAACUCUACUGUAUCUGUAUGUAUAUGCUGAAGGAAUCUUAAUGGUCUUUGCAUGGUACAUGUACAAUUUAGCUCAGUUAUAUUACAUGCAACAGCAGCAUUGGCACCUGUGUUGUAUUGUUUGUGGUUGUGAUGAAUUUGGACUUUGAGUUCUCCUCAGUUUGAUUCGGUGUAACAAGGUCGAACUGUACAUUCUCUAAGCAUCCACAGGGUUUCCACUUUAGCGUGUAUAUAGCUUCUAUUAAUAAAAAGAUUAUCUUUUUGUA